GCUUGACUGUAGCUUGUAAUGGGUUCGGGCUUUUUUUGCGCAGCCUAGGUGGGAGGCAACGAUGAUUUUUUUCCGGAAAAAUUUGAGCCGUUAGUGAGAGACCACUCUGAAAAGGCUAGAAUCCUAAUAAUGAUCCUUGAAUCAGGACAUUUGACAGUUGCAGGUGGGCAGUUUUACUGGGGCGGUAUUCUCCUAAAAAGUAACGGAGGGGUGCAAAGGUUCCCUCAAGCUGGACGGAAAUCAGCUUAAGAGUGUAAAGGCAAAAGGGAGCUUGACUGCAAGACCUACAAGUCGAGCAGGGGCGAAGCCGGCCUUAGUGAUCCGACGGUACCACGUGGAAGGGCCGUCGCUCAACGGAUAAAAGGUUA
rnacentral:rRNA from 1 species